rnacentral:rRNA from 1 species
CAAGGAUUCCCAAAGUAACGGCGAGUGAAUUGGGAACAGCCCAACGCUGAAUCUUACGAUAUGUGUAUCGUUAAGAAAUGUAGCGUAUAGGUAUGAUUGGCGAUUUGUGCUAUAUAUCCAAAGUUCCUUUGAUUGGGACCAUAAUCCUGAGAGGGUGCGAGACCUGUUCGGAUAAUAGAGCAAAUCGCAUGAUUAUACUAUGGAGUCGGGUUGCUUGAAAGUGCAGCCUUAAGUUGGUGAUAAACUUCAUCUAAGGCUAAAUAUUGACGCGAAUUCGAUAGCAAACAAGUACUGUGAAGGAAAGUU